rnacentral:rRNA from 1 species
UCCGUAGGUGGAUAAUUAAGUCAGGGGUGAAAGUCUGCAGCUCAACUGUAGAAUUGCCCUUGAUACUGGUUGUCUUGAGUCAUUAUGAAGUGGUUAGAAUAUGUAGUGUAGCGGUGAAAUGCAUAGAUAUUACAUAGAAUACCAAUUGCGAAGGCAGAUCACUAAUAAUGUACUGACACUGAUGGACGAAAGCGUGGGGAGCGAACAGGAUUAGAUACCCUGGUAGUCC